rnacentral:lncRNA from 1 species
UUGCAUACUUCUUGUCUCAUCUCUCUGCCCAGGAUUGGACCUCCAUCCCUCCCUGAGUCAGCCAGAGUGAGGUGAGAUGCUCACACCGACAGCCUAGAACAACAGACCAGUCAGGGCUCAGUCCUGGACCUUCUUCUGAGAGCAGUUCCACAUAACAAGAAGCAGGCCAAGAGGCAUCUUUAGGGGAUGUAGGAGCACCUGCCUACACAUCUCAUUUGGAAGGCAGUUCCCUUCAUUGCUGGAGGAGAAGGCCAGAGUAAACAGAAGAACCACGGUACAUGAAUCCACAGCACCCAUAUUGAAGGGAGCAACUGUGCAAGCAAGGAGACGAAUCAUGAUGUGAGUUUUGUGGACUGCCUUGCUAAUGCAGAGAAGUGAAAUAAUUCCCAUCACAGAGAAAAAGGAACUAAGAAACAGCAAGGUAAGACAAUUCGCCAGUACCUGAUCAUCAAAGUUUUCAUUUCACCAGUCAC